UCUUGUUACUAGUCAGUGGGAAACCAUUUCAAAGUGUUGUGUGAUAUGGCACUUGAUGAUUAUCAUGCUCUGCUACAACAAUAAUACAAGCAGAUUGAGAAUCUCACCUGCGUAUUCUCCUUAGGUCCUCGACUUCCUUUCAGACUUGACAACUUGCAUCACACACCUUCUCAUUUGUUUUGCUCAAACAGGUGACGCACAAUGAGACUAUUCACACUGAUUUUCAUUAAAAAUGGUUUAAGUUUUAACAAAGAUUUGUUUAACCAAAGCCCCUUCUGUUUUCAUUAUUUUGUGUGGGUUAUUGCAAUUCAUAAUACUAAUUAUUGUGUCAUUGCCAUGAAACUGAUAUUUCCUGAGCUGAUAAUGGCACUGCUGAACUCUUCUACUGUUUCAACCCUGGUCAUGAUGCUUUAUUUUAAUUAAGGACGCACCAUAAUAUGGGCCAAGCAAUGAUAUCGACCUUGACUGCAAUUGGCCUAUCCGCAAAAGGGAAGGUAAAUAACAACAAAACAAAACAAAAAAACACCAUUAAAAUCAAAAUUAUUAUUAAAAGAUAUGACAGAUAAGAUAAGCUCUUGUGUUUAUUGUCCCAUAAUGGGGAAAUUGAUAUUUUGCAACAGCAGGACACUACAGAGCAAAAUGAAGGGCACUCAUAGCAAACAAUAGAAAAAAAAUCUCAUCUAAAAUCUAAGAUCUCAAUCUUUUUUUUUUUUUUUUUUUUUUUUUUUAAGAUCAUGCUUGAGAAAAGUGGAUAUGAAUGAGUGGUUAUGAAUGAGUAAUAACCAGAGGAUAGUACAGGGAAGAAUAAAGUGCAGAUUCAAGGCAAAUUACAAAAAAAUACUAAAGUAAAGAGAUAAAGAAUAAACACUAAACAAUGAAUAUAAAAUCUAAAAUCAAUUAUUUACACACAAAAAAAUUCUGCAUUGAUAUUUAUCCCUAAUAGGAUAGUAAGUUCAUCACAACUGUCUGGUGGAUGUUGAACGUGCAAUAAUUCAAACAGCUUCCUUGACAUUAACCACAGGCCACUAAGCAACACACCACAGUUUCAAUGGCUGACAAGAGUUGACCAAAUCCAGUCUGAACAAAGUUCAUACUAGAUAGGUUUUUCAGCACCGCAGCGAAAGAGGAGGAUUUAUUUCCUCCAACCUAAUGUGCUCGCCAAACAGUGCCUCAGCCCGCUGGAAUCUUUAUGGACUGGCAAAGUAAAAUGAGGCCAGCCUUGAGGGGAAAAAUGCUUGUAUGACUGGAAUUUGUGUCUCUAUACCACAUCGGCUUUGCUCACCUGCUUACUUUUCAAAGGCGUGUGUUAACGUGAUAUUGAAUAGAACCUGUCACUUUAAGGUUUGAGUACAGUUUGGUUGGUUAAAGUCCAUCUGAGACUGGUAAUUACAUUAAGACACUUAUAUUUUAGUUCCUAAUUUUGCAAUAUGUACUAGGUAAUAGGUGAGCACUGUUAAUACACAUUUAUAUUUUUAUUGCAAUUUCAUUUAUUUAACAUGUACUCAGUAUGUUAAGUUUUAAAGGACAUUCGCUAUUUUUCGAAGUAUUUGAUAUUUUACCACUGCUUACUAAUGUAUCUACAUCAAAAAAUUAAAUAUCCUAUUUUUGAUUCAUUGUACACUGAGAGAGAAACACGGUGUUUUCAGAUGAUGCAUCUACUUUCAUGUACCUUUGUAUUUUUCCUGCCUGGCAUGAACUCAAAACGGCAUGACAGGAGCGUGUUGGUUUGCCUAGCCAAUUAACUGUACCCCUUACAAGCAUUUUUAUUUAAACUGUUUUUCACAUUUCAGUUCGUUUUCCAAGCUAGUGGGAUGUUAUAUUUGUCUUUUUUGAUUUUCUCCAUGUGGCUGCUUCUGGUCUGUGCUACUCACAUCUCUCUGCCUGUGACCAUACAGACGUUGAAUGGGCAGGUAGUGCAGGCUUUUUAUGUGUGUUUCACAGCAUUAAUAUUACUGUCACCUGGACUUAUCUCCUGAAUGAACAGUGUUGGAGUUGCUUAUAUGAUAACCUGGGCUGUCUGUUCUCCUGCAUUUGCUUGACUUCACCUCAUACUAAUUGACCACAAAGUGACCCAGAUCUGCAGAAAAAAUGGGUUGUGUAGUGGGUGUUGUUAGCACCAUCAAGUGGAAAACAAUGAAACUGUUGAAAAUGACCAGUACAAGGGAAAAACCUCAUAUCCAUAAGGUCCCUCUGCUGGAAAAAUACUCAUCCUACAUCUAUGUUAGGAAACAGGUUGAUCCACAUGUUGAAAACAUGUAGAAGAGUCUUGUUGUAACUACCCCUCAUUCUUGCAUAAUUUUAAAUUUAAGUAUGAAGAGGAAACAAAAAAUAUGGAAAAAUCAUCAUACAUUUUCCAGGAAAUUUCAGGAAUUUCAAUGCAGAGAACAUACAUUUUUUAUUAGAAUUUGAUGAAAUCUGGCUCAAAAUAAAAAGAAAUGCAGAAACAGUGACCUUAUUGACUAAGCUUAUUAGAGUUUGUCUGCACAUUUUGGAAAUAUUUGUGAUAACACGGUCACAGAUAAUUACUGAAGUUAGUCAUGUACGAAAUAUGCAGUUACAGUCAAGUUCAACUUUAACUGUAACAAGUAAAACAUUGUUUUAAGUUACUUUAUAUGAGGUGUAGUCUGAGCAGCAUAGAGUCUGUACCAUGAAACAGAUAUGACUGACAUCUGAGCUGAAUUUUUUUAUUUUUUUUCAAAGGAGAUACAGUAACAAAGACAUGGUUCCAAGAAGAUGUGCUAAUGUACAGUAUGUGUGGCUGUAGGUGUGCACACACAUUUCUAGCUGGAUAGAAAAUCAUCAGCCAUUGGCAGGGCAGCGAAUACCAGACAAAAGAUGGCAACAGGAAUGGAAAGGAAAGGAAAAGAAAGGAAAGGAAAGGGAAAGGAACAGCUGGUGUGGUGGGAGUUACAGUGGGUUGAACGCAGUGCUGAAUAAAUGUGUCUUGACUCUGGACAAAAAAUACUGACAGAGUGUCUGUUCUUGACAAUGGCAGGAAGCUUGUUCCAAUGGGAGGAGGAGGCUGACUGGGAUAAGGCUCAUGCCUCAGCUGUUUUCUUUUGAAUGUGGGUAAUGACAAGGAUUCCUGCAUCCUGUGAGCAGGGACUGUGGCCCACGCAACACUUUAAGAAAAUGGAGUAAAUGCUCAAUGCAGCGACAAAAGAUAAAGAGCACAUUUUUACAGUUAGUGAUGAUAGGUUGGACCUGCUUUAGCCUAUGCAUAAGUUCAUAAAGACGUUAUCACAGUGUGGUCAAAGUAAAAGUUAUGGUUAAGAUGGAGGUACGAUAGUGAGCAUGACAGUGACCUAAAAAGUUCAGGUCAGGAAAAAAAUGAAAUAUUUAAUAGUAUCUGUACUAAGGAGGAUAAAGCAGUCUGUCAUAUAUUGGCUGUCGGAAUUUUUUUGUGGCAGCUUGUUUUUAAAUGCGGAAAUUGAUUGAUUGAUUGAUUGAUUGAUUGAUUUUUUUUUUUUUUUUUUUUUUUUUGGAUUCUUACAAAAAAAAAAAAACAAAAGACCUAAAGGAAAUUCAGCACAUUUAAACCUAUCAUCCAAAUUACAAUCAUUGCAAUGAAAGUGGUUAUUGUUUGCUCAGUGCAAAAACUGUAUACUCAAGAGUCUCCCUUAUUCCCUCUUUCCUUCUUUUCCUUUCUUGUACUGAAAGUUUUUUCCUGAGCUGAUAUGAUCACAGAAACAAUCAGUGUCUGCUUAUAAUAGGAAAAAACAAGUUUUAGGUGCUUGGGGAAGAAAUAUUUGAGUAAAAGUUGGUUUAAAGUUGAUGCUUGAUGGUCAGUGGAUGGAAUCAAUAACGUAUGUCCUUGCUCUGAUCUUGUGGUAAACAUCAGUGUCAUCUGCAUAAAAAUUAAAGUGAAAUCCUAAAGACAGUGGAUCAGAUAAUAUGGAAAAGAUCUGUAGAUUCAGUUUAAAGAGGAUCUGGUGAUAAACAGAAGACAUUUAGGAGGUUGUAUGAGAACAUGGUAGCAAGUGUUAGAUUUGACCAUAUGAGUGUAAGAAGGAAAACGUAUCAAUCUCCAGCAGCUGGCGGUGUGUUCAAUGGAUGUGUGUGUGUGUGUGUGUUCAUGUUUAUAAACCUCUCUCUGUCUGUCGGUCGGCUUUCCUCUCCUCUCUCUUCACCUUCAGAGGGAAGGACACACAUUCCAGCGCUGUUUCCCGACUCUAGCCCAGGGCGACGCUCAGCCAGAGCUGAUAAGUGACAGGGGCCCCAGCCCCCCUCGCAGGAGGGCCCCCCCCCCCUCUGGUUCCACACACACACAGUCACACACACCUCCUCUCCUCCCUGCCCUUCAGUCCACAGCCGUGCUGCUCGGGAAUUCUGCCCUCUGCCCCACUUCUGCCCCCCACCUCCUCACCCGCGCCCCCUCCUCUCUUUCUACCAGAGACGAGGAGGUCUUUAAAGAGAUAGAUUGGUCUUUAAUUUUUGUGCUAGCCUGGUCAGUGACACCGCUUCCCACCCCCUCCUCUUUGUCCUCCCUCUACAUUUACGAGCUGAACUGAGAUGUGAAGAGAGGCGUCACGAAAGCUCAAAUGGGAGAUUCAUCAAUCUUUGUAGAGUGAUUUAAUGCAUAUUCUUUUUCAUUUAAAUAGGUGUUUUCACAGGUAGCUUUAAUGACUUUUAAAGCUGCUGCUGACGGAGCUAAAGGUGCAGCUGUUGAGUUUCAGACAGUAAGUCUGAAAGCCUGGGUUUGAGCAUUUUCACAAUGUGUUAGGACAGGUUGGUUAUGUUACCUGUUGGAGGGUAUGGGGAGUUUCAUACUAUAAUGUAACAUGUCUGUUAUAGCUGUAGAACGAUUCUUGUCCAUUUGUGUCUUUGUUGGACAAUAACACCAUUGCUCUCCCUCCUUCUCUUUCUAUCUCUCCUUCUCUCUAUUAAGCAUUCCACUCAGACCUGCACCAAGGCUCUAAGCUCAAAAAACUCUCUGACCACGAGUGUGUAUGUGCCUGCGUUCAUGUUUGUACGUAUCUGAGUGUGUGUGUGUGCCUGCGUGUGCACUUGGUGCGUGCCUGAAUGUGUGUCAGCCUCAAUUGCUGGAGCCUAUCCAAGGUUUCCGUGGUGACCACACAACACAACGAGACAAUCAGAGGCAAGCCCACGCAGCGCGGCGAGAGGACAUUAACACAGGAACUGCGGGUCAGGGGGCAGAGGAAGGCAGGCAAGACAGGGGGAGAGGAAGAUGAAGAGGAAGGUGGAGUGAGGUGUUAAAGCCACAGGGAGGGGGUGAGCGAGAGAGUGACGCUGAGGAGAGAAAGGAGAGUAAACAACAAUAAACAAUGAGACAACCUUAAAGGCUACUUUAGGUUUCUCCCUUUCAGGCCUGCAAGACAUCAAGAGCGUUAAAGGUUUCCUGGCCCCAGGAGUGCCUGUGUGGUUUUGGCUGCACCCCACCUCUCUGUAUGUGUGUGUAUGUGUGUGUGUGUGUGCAGAGAUGGCUGCAUGCGUGACUGAAUCCAUGAGCAGGAGGGCUCCACAAGGGUGUAUGUUUGUCUGUUUGUGUGUGAGUGAGUGCACGCACAGACCUGAAUGUAACGUGAGAACGUGCGCGGGUCUCUUGAAAUUCAACUGUUAGAAAGUGUGUGUACGCUCGCACAUGUUUUCACUUUUGUGUGUGCAAGCCUGUGUGCAUCUGCAGCCGUGCACGCGGGCGCUCUCACAUAUCUCUGUCCCCCGGGGAUGACGCUAAAAAUAUGUGGCUCCUCAAGCCUUCUGGUGUCUGAGCAGCGUCUGUCUGCUCUCCAUUGCCGUCCCUGUGGCCCUCCCUCCCCUCCGUUACUCCUGUUCCCUCCAUUCCUCCCUCAAUUACACCCUCUUCCAAACACAGUACCUCCGCAAGCACACACACACGGACACACACGGACACACGCACACCAACUACACCCAGCUGUGUCCCCACUACACUUCCACUGAGGAUGACCUCUGCUCAGCCAGAGUGGGAUAAAGGGAGACGAAUGAAAAGAAAAA